CAUAAUGGAUCCUCUCUGUGGUGAGGAAGUUGGCACCUGCUCCUCUUUGAACAUCACUGGAGCAGAUUAAUUUUCAUUUCUCUAUGCAUCAGUGAGGCUGGGAUUUUUUACUUUAUGUAGAGAAACCAUUUUUUUUUGCCUCAUUUUUGAAGAUAAGAAUGGAAAGAAAUAUUCUAGGAAGAAAGAAGUACAGACAGAAAAAUUUGUAAAAGGGGAGAUGAAAAUUUAAUCUAGUAUUUAUAAGGACUUGCCAAUGAAGGGAGUUCUUUCUCAUGUUUAUGGAGACUUAUGGAAAGGAUCAUCCCUCAAGUACUCAGAGAUCCUUGAAGGCAAAUGGAAGCCAAGCAAAUUACACUUAACGAAUAGCUUCAGCUGCCUUGCUCUUGGAGAUCCUUCCUGGGGAGUCCGGGGUCACCACAUACACGGCCUGAUUUGCUGAGACCACCAUAUGGGAGGUUCCAGUUGCAGGUGACCUGGGUCCCAGUAGAGUUCACUCUUCCCGUCACCUCUGCUGGGAACAACAUGUGAGGGAACAGUCACUUGAGAAGAGCAUCUUGGUCUAUCCAGGGUCGGCCAGCUUCGCAUGAGUCCCUGCCCAAGUGCCCUCCCAUUGAGAAGACUUGUUCAUUGGAGUCUUUCCUGAAUUCCUGCUCCACGAAUUGGGAGAUAGAAUAAAGUGGUUAUUGUU